rnacentral:rRNA from 1 species
GACGAACGCUGGCGGCGUGCCUAACACAUGCAAGUCGAACGGAGUUUACUUCGGUAAACUUAGUGGCGGACGGGUGAGUAACGCGUGAGCAAUCUACCUUUCAGAGGGGGAUAACGUUCUGAAAAGAACGCUAAUACCGCAUGACAUAUUUUAGUCACAUGGCUUUAAUAUCAAAGGAGCAAUCCGCUGAAAGAUGAGCUCGCGUCCGAUUAGAUAGUUGGUGAGGUAACGGCCCACCAAGUCGACGAUCGGUAGCCGGACUGAGAGGUUGAACGGCCACAUUGGGACUGAGACACGGCCCAGACUCCUACGGGAGGCAGCAGUGAGGGAUAUUGGGCAAUGGAGGAAACUCUGAUGCAGCAACGCCGCGUGAGGGAAGAAGGUUUUCGGAUUGGUAAACCUCUGUUUUUAGUGAAGAAGAAUGACGGUACCUGAGGAAUAAGCCACGGCUAACUACGUG